rnacentral:rRNA from 1 species
GAUGAACGCUGGCGGCGUGCCUAAUACAUGCAAGUCGAGCGAACAGACGAGGAGCUUGCUCCUCUGACGUUAGCGGCGGACGGGUGAGUAACACGUGGAUAACCUACCUAUAAGACUGGGAUAACUUCGGGAAACCGGAGCUAAUACCGGAUAAUAUAUUGAACCGCAUGGUUCAAUAGUGAAAGACGGUUUUGCUGUCACUUAUAGAUGGAUCCGCGCCGCAUUAGCUAGUUGGUAAGGUAACGGCUUACCAAGGCAACGAUGCGUAGCCGACCUGAGAGGGUGAUCGGCCACACUGGAACUGAGACACGGUCCAGACUCCUACGGGAGGCAGCAGUAGGGAAUCUUCCGCAAUGGGCGAAAGCCUGACGGAGCAACGCCGCGUGAGUGAUGAAGGUCUUCGGAUCGUAAAACUCUGUUAUUAGUGAAGAACAAAUGUGUAAGUAACUAUGCACGUCUUGACGGUACCUAAUCAGAAAGCCACGGCUAACUACGUG